rnacentral:rRNA from 1 species
UGAGUAACCUGCCCUUCACUCUGGGAUAACUCCGGGAAACCGGGCUAAUACUGGGUAUGACUCGAACAGGCAUCUGUUUCGGGUGGAAAGAUUUAUUGGUGGAGGAUGGACUCGCGGCCUAUCAGCUUGUUGGUGAGGUAACGGCUCACCAAGGCAACGAUGCGUAGCCGACCUGAGAGGGUNAUCGGCCACAUUGGAACUGAGACACGGUCCAGACCUCCGUACGGGAGCA